rnacentral:rRNA from 1 species
UACGUAGGGUGCAAGCGUUGUCCGGAAUUAUUGGGCGUAAAGAGCUCGUAGGCGGUUUGUCGCGUCUGCUGUGAAAACCCGAGGCUCAACCUCGGGCCUGCAGUGGGUACGGGCAGACUAGAGUGCGGUAGGGGAGAUUGGAAUUCCUGGUGUAGCGGUGGAAUGCGCAGAUAUCAGGAGGAACACCGAUGGCGAAGGCAGAUCUCUGGGCCGUAACUGACGCUGAGACGCGAAAGCGUGGGGAGCGAACAGG